rnacentral:rRNA from 1 species
GAUGAACGCUAGCGGCAGGCCUAAUACAUGCAAGUCGAACGGGCGGUAGCAAUACCGCUAGUGGCGCACGGGUGCGUAACGCGUAACCAACCUGCCCAGAUCUGGGGGAUAGCCCGCCGAAAGGCGGAUUAAUACCGCAUAAACCCACAGUGUGGCAUCACAUAAUGGGUAAAGAUUUAUCGGAUCUGGAUGGGGUUGCGUAGCAUUAGCUAGUUGGCGGGGUAAUGGCACACCAAGGCGACGAUGCUUAGGGGACCUGAGAGGGUGAUCCCCCACACUGGCACUGGGACACGAGCCAGACGGCUACGGGAGGCAGCGGUAGGGAAUAUUGGGCAAUGGGCGUGAGCCUGACCCAGCCAUGCCGCGUGGCGGAUGAAGGCCUUCUGGGUUGUAAACGGCUUUUCUCAGGGAAGAAAACGGGGAUGCGUCCUCAACUGACGGUACCUGAGGAAUAAGCACCGGCUAACUCCGUG